rnacentral:rRNA from 1 species
UAGGGAAUCUUGGACAAUGGGGGAAACCCUGAUCCAGCCAUGCCGCGUGAGUGAAGAAGGCCUUAGGGUCGUAAAACUCUUUCGCCAGGGAAGAUAAUGACGGUACCUGGUAAAGAAACCCCGGCUAACUCUGUGCCAGCAGCCGCGGUAAUACGGAGGGGGUUAGCGUUGUUCGGAAUUACUGGGCGUAAAGCGCACGUAGGCGGGCUGAAAAGUUGGGGUGAAAUCCCGGGGCUCAACCCCGGAACUGCCUUCAAAACUGACAGCCUAGAGUUCGAGAGAGGUGAGUGGAAUUCCGAGUGUAGAGGUGAAAUUCGUAGAUAUUCGGAGGAACACCAGUGGCGAAGGCGGCUCACUGGCUCGAUACUGACGCUGAGGUGCGAAAGUGUGGGGAGC